ACGCUCAGGUGCGAAAGCGUGGGGAGCAAACAGGAUUAGAUACCCUGGUAGACCACGCCGUAAACGAUGUCGAUUUGGAGGUUGUGCCCUUGAGGCGUGGCUUCCGGAGCUAACGCGUUAAACCGACCGCCUGGGGAGUACGGCCGCAAGGUUAAAACUCAAAUGAAUUGACGGGGGCCCGCACAAGCGGUGGAUCGCCAUGGGGAUCAACGCCCUCGGGAAGAUGAUCAACAGCGCCGGGGAUUUUGGGCCGAUGAUCUUCGGCAC
rnacentral:rRNA from 1 species